rnacentral:rRNA from 1 species
UACGUAGGGUGCAAGCGUUGUCCGGAAUCAUUGGGCGUAAAGCGCGCGUAGGCGGCCCGAUAAGUCCGCUGUGAAAGUCCACGGCUCAACUGUUGAAAGCCGGUGGAUACUGUCGGGCUAGAGUACGGAAGAGGCAAGUGGAAUUCCUGGUGUAGCGGUGGAAUGCGCAGAUAUCAGGAGGAACACCUAUAGCGAAGGCAGCUUGCUGGGACGUUACUGACGCUAAGGCGCGAAAGCGUGGGGAGCGAACAGG